UUACGGCAGAGCAAUCGAUCCACUGGGGGUCGAUUUAUCGCAUCUAGUGAAGACGCAAUAAAUCGACUGCCAAGCGCUCUCCCGUCAACUCUGGUACUGCACCGGAGCAAGAAGCGUAGGCGGAGUCAACGGGGGAGCGGCAGCAGUUGACCUACCUCAGUGAAGACACCACGGAGCUGAGAUGGUCCAGAAACUAGACAUUUAAAUGGCAGAAGGCGGAGCUGGAGUCCAAGAGAUUAUCAGGAAGCUUCUUCCAUCAAGGUCAGGAAUACAAAUGUGGACAGCAUUUUUGGAAUGUGGAACGAUGAUUUGUCUUGUCCUGUUUUUAUGCUGAAGCUAUCUGUUGCCUGUGAAGGUGAGUGGCAAGAGUUAAAUGAAUCAGCAUUCCAACAUUGGUAUUGCCACAUUCUACUGGAAUUCCACUGAAAUCAAAAUGGAACGUCAUGAAAUAGCUGGCAUGGCACCUAUAGAACUGCUUCUUGCCUGAUAAAUGUGACCACACUAUAUGACUGAGUCAGGUGAAAGUAACCAAGAGACUCAAGUCCUUCCAGAGCUGUUACAAAGAGGAGGGGAACUACAGUUAAGAAGAACCACCCCACCCUGGAAAUAUGGUAUUUAAACCACCUUACCCAGAACUGCCUUCAGUGUUGGGGAAACAUAAUUUGCAAGAGAGAAAGGGAACUAUGUAGUUUAAAACUCUCUAAUGGAGAGACUAGAUUCUCCGGAAUAAAGUGACAAACCAUCCCAACAUUUAGGGUAAUAUGGCUACAAUAAAUAUUGUUACUUGGUUUAUCAGGAUUAUACUGAAUGAUCUGGAUGCUUAGGUGAUGUCCCUAUGAUCUGUCUCUUUGUAGCUCUCUGAAAAAUCCAAUCUGGAUCUUGGAGGAACACACAGAAAGCUGUGCAGUGUUCCCUGAUAGAGGAAUACAGUUCUUGGGGUAUUGAUAUGGAUGUGCUCCCCUGCAAAAACCAUUAACUUUUCCCGAGGGAGGAGUAUUGUUCAUGAGACUAAUGUUAAGAUAUUGACUGUGAUUUCAUGUUUGUAAUCUUCAAACAGACAUAAACUCUCUGUGGGCAUGGUCAUAUCAUUACAUAGUCUAACUUA